UUUUUUUUUUUUUAAAUUUCAUAUGUCAUCAUAACACUCAAUAGUUGCUCUAGGUUAUCUAAAGCGUCAUUGAACAAAGUUGUCAUAUUCUAAUACCUUUACCUUUCUUUUGGAUGGAGGGAUUUUAUUCAUGAAUCUAAUUUAGGUUCAUAAAUGUGGAGGAAAAACUUAGAGUGUGGAUAUCAAAUACUUACAAUAUGUAAUAUUAAAAUUCAAGCCACUUCAAAUUAGUUGUUAACCACAUUAAUGAAUCUAAUUUUUGUUUGUGAAUCUAGUUAAUUUAUGCAUGGAUGAACUUUCAUUCAAGUAAUUUAAACUAAAAUCAUUACCAAAUCCAUCAUUUGAAGUUAUUCCAUCCAAACAUCAACAUUAGUGUUCUUACUCUGUGCCUUUAGCUGGCAAAUGGCAGCUAAUGACUAUCCCAAAUGGCAGAUAGUUAAUAGUGUACUCUUAGUGACUUGGUCUUUUCUGUU
rnacentral:misc_RNA from 1 species